UACGGGGGGGGCAAGCGUUGUUCGGAAUUACUGGGCGUAAAGGGCUCGUAGGCGGCCAACUAAGUCAGACGUGAAAUCCCUCGGCUUAACCGGGGAACUGCGUCUGAUACUGGAUGGCUUGAGUGUGGGAGAGGGAUGCGGAAUUCCAGGUGUAGCGGUGAAAUGCGUAGAUAUCUGGAGGAACACCGGUGGCGAAGGCGGCAUCCUGGACCAUGACUGACGCUGAGUGAGCGAAAGCGUGGGGAGCGAACAGG
rnacentral:rRNA from 1 species